UACGAAGGGUGCUAGCGUUGUUCGGAAUUACUGGGCGUAAAGCGCGCGUAGGCGGCUUUUCAAGUCAGGGGUGAAAUCCCACGGCUCAACCGUGGAAUUGCCUUUGAAACUGUGAAGCUAGAGUGUCGGAGGGGAUAGCGGAAUUGCUAAUGUAGAGGUGAAAUUCGUAGAUAUUAGCAGGAACACCGGUGGCGAAGGCGGCUAUCUGGACGACAACUGACGCUGAGGCGCGAAAGCGUGGGGAUCAAACAGG
rnacentral:rRNA from 1 species